rnacentral:rRNA from 1 species
CCGACCCGUUAUAUCCGACGCUCCUGUGCAGAGGCGAGGAGGAAGAGAACAACCGCAGCGGAGGUAGGCCGAGCCGAAGAAGGUGGGCAUGGGCAUCUAACUAAAGGUAGGCCCAGGGAAGGCAAGGUGCUAAGUCCAGGGGGGGGAGCGGCAGCAGGUACCGCGACGUCAUGCACCUCCGCGUCGCCGUCCGCGCCGGCCUGGAGCGGCUGACCAUGCGGCUGGAGCGGCUGGAGAUGGUCGCGUUCGAGACCGUGGUCGAGUGGGAGUUCGAGCUGGUUAAGGAGGUCUAGGGCCGGCGUGUCUGACCGCUGUGCGAGUAUGUCGAGAUGUUGUUGAAGUAGAGGCUAAAGCUUUGUUUCUAGUUAAACGAGUUUGAACGGGUCAAACGGCAGUAUCGGAGCGCGGUUAUAGGGCUGUUCCUACGGCGGUAGCGGAAGGAGCUCCCCUAUUAGCGGUUCGAAGCGCUUUGGUCCCUCGACGCCUAGUUACUCGGAUAGGAAGUACAGUUCUACGUCUAACGCCGUUAAGUGGAGCUGUUUCCCUUGGUGUUCCUCACGUUCUUGGACGACCUCCUUCCCUUCUGGUGGGACCUACCGUACUGACUACACCUAGGAUGCCAGGUGCGAUCGAAGAUGACCUAUAGCAGAGUCAUGGUAUUCAGCGAGGUUCUCAAACGACUCAAGAUAUUCUUGCGCGAAGAGAUAGACCGGAUGUGUUGGCAUCCCAGAGAGAGUCCCAGUAAGUUCGACCUGAACCGUAAACUGGAAAGGGAACGUCGGAACGACCCCCUGUUGUAGAUGUUGAAGCCCCUUAACAAUCGAGUGGGAUAAUAGUUAUCAGAAUAACCCUGGUUCCACCUCACCCAGAUAGUGUACAAUGUUCGCAAGUUGUGGCCGUUGGAUCGAGAGAUGGUUCUCGAAACACCCCAAGUGUUACGACGAGAAUCACGUGUCGGACGUAACCACGUCUUACUUGUCUUUGACGAACUCUUCUAGUUAUAAGACACAGACUACCUCUAUUAGAAGUCGGCCGGUAGUCUUCUAUCUUGAUAGGGUAAUUCACAAUAACGGUUCGUCUGAUUCGAAAGUUGGUCGCUUCACCUUACAGAAGAAUACUUCUCGGAGAGCCAAGUAGAGUAUCUUCCUUAGUAGCUACUUCAGCUGUCGUGCCAAGUACAAAGCACCCAGGUCGGAUCUCAUGAACCGUAGGGUGUCCACUUCCGCAACGCACUCGCGGACCUGAGCACCCAGCCGUUUCACGUAUGGUGUGACAACAGGUAGCUCCGUCUCUGGGGGCUAGAGCACCGCCGAAUCGAACAACCGGUUUUUACUAAGACUUAUCCGAAACCAACAGUCGUUCCGCCGCCACAUUUUGCUCUCUGGUAGACCGACACGACGCGCACGAUCGACGAGAAAAGAACUAUUGCUUUUGAACAACGGAACCCACAGGAUAACCAGACCUGAACAUUGAAGGAAGAUAGUAGUGCCUAGCUUUGUCUCUUUAGUAUGGCCGUCUCCCACAGUGAUCAAAAAAGGACAACUUGAAAUAUUAGACAUUAGGUCGCCAAACUGUAAAAAAGAAGAAGGUAACACGAUACCUGUACCUGUGCGUCCUUUUAGAACGAGUAAAAGAAUACAAACACGGUCUGUUACUUCGGAAAACUUAA